rnacentral:rRNA from 1 species
GCUUAGGAAUCUGCCUAUUAGUGGGGGACAACAUUCCGAAAGGAAUGCUAAUACCGCAUACGCCCUACGGGGGAAAGCAGGGGAUCUUCGGACCUUGCGCUAAUAGAUGAGCCUAAGUCAGAUUAGCUAGUUGGUGGGGUAAAGGCCUACCAAGGCGACGAUCUGUAGCGGGUCUGAGAGGAUGAUCCGCCACACUGGGACUGAGACACGGCCCAGACUCCUACGGGAGGCAGCAGUGGGGAAUAUUGGACAAUGGGCGAAAGCCUGAUCCAGCCAUGCCGCGUGUGUGAAGAAGGCCUUUUGGUUGUAAAGCACUUUAAGCGAGGAGGAGGCUACUUGGAUUAAUACUCUAGGAUAGUGGACGUUACUCGCAGAAUAAGCACCGGCUAACUCUGUGCCAGCAGCCGCGGUAAUACAGAGGGUGCGAGCGUUAAUCGGAUUUACUGGGCGUAAAGCGUGCGUAGGCGGCUUCUUAAGUCGGAUGUGAAAUCCCUGAGCUUAACUUAGGAAUUGCAUUCGAUACUGGGAAGCUAGAGUAUGGGAGAGGAUGGUAGAAUUCCAGGUGUAGCGGUGAAAUGCGUAGAGAUCUGGAGGAAUACCGAUGGC